GGCUCCUAUCCAGUGAGGUUGCAGGGUCUGGUGAUGUCUCAGUGACACAGAAGCUGUAGGCUGCCUCCACUGAACAGUGAACCAAAGGCAGAUGAAGUAACUAGUUUUUGCUUUGAUCCCUUUACAGUUUGACAAAUACCCUACAAAAGUUGACCCCUUCUACCGGCACAGUCUCUUCCACUCCUACCCUCCUGCAGUGUCGGGCAUCCCCCCCAUGAUCCCACCCACGGGCCCUUUUGGUUCACUACAAGGAGCAUUUCAGCCCAAGACAUCCAACCCUAUCGAUGUUGCUGCUCGGCCCGGGACAGUCCCACACACUUUACUUCAGAAGGACCCGCGGUUGACAGAUCCUAUCAGACCUAUGUUAAGGAAACCAGGGAAGUGGUGUGCUAUGCAUGUUCACAUCGCCUGGCAGAUUUACCACCACCAACAGAAAGUCAAGGUCAGUCUGACCUUCCUGGUUGGGGGGAGGGGGGGAGCUGGGUGCGAGCACGUGAUCUGCCCAGGAGCACCUGAGUAAGAGUAUUCAAAACAGGGUCCUGAAGACCAGAGGCAGGGAGAGGUCCCUCGGGAAGCCCAUCUGAGAACCUUAAUGAGGGAAACCUCCAGCAGAAUCACAGAACAAAAGCAAACUGGUAGCUCCCUGGUGCAUCUUUCCUUUUGAUAAAUUUGUCAUCUUACUUAAAUAGUAAGAUCCAAAGGGUUUAAAUAUGGUUUAAAUCCUGAAAUAAAGGUUUUAAUUAUAAUGAGCAAGAACUAGAAUAUGGAGAACACUUAAGAGGCUGAGAAAGCCAACAGAAGAUGGUUUUGUUUUGUUUUUCAGUAGCAACCCAUGUGUUCUCUUCCUUUUUGGGUUUGGGGAAAUGAUAUUUAUGCCCCAUGUGGAGAUGGUGGUGCUGAACCUCCGUCAGCAGCAUGCAUGAUCACAUUAGCCCUUCUGGGAGGUCACGCUGGGCCUGCUCUUACCAUCUGUCAGUCUUCCUGGUGACCUAUCCAGGUGUUAAGAGACAGUCAGUACCUGCCAGGACCACCUGGGGCAGGUCCUUUUUAUUUGCACCAUACAGAUGAAGAUGGUCCGUGCUUGACCAGAGCCUUUGUGGCACAGGAGGGAGGAGAGAGAGCAUGCGGGUGGUAACGUGACAAGGUUCUGGGGCUUGGCUCAGACACAUGGAACCUGACGUCCACACUUUAGCCUGGGUCUUUGCAGCCUGGAAAAAUGAUGGGAAACAUCCAAGCAGGUCAUUCUAGCAUAGGUUUCUCCGUCCACCUCUUCAUGCGUGACUAGGUCCUGGCAGCAUUUAGUGACCCGUCAGCCUGAGGCCCAUAGGCAAGGAGGACACGCCAGUCACAUGGCAGGGUUCAGUGGUUCAGAAGCAAAGAUGGAACCUAGUUAGAAGGGAGGAACAAACCUCCGCAAGACCUUUGGCUUUGGACACCUGCCCCUGGUGCUGACCACAUAUCAGUGAGUGCUGCUCACUUUUCCCUCCUUUUGCGCUCAGUGUAAUUGGGACCUCGUGGUGUUGCUGAUUAGUUCAUGCUUUCUAGUUCCGGGUGACAUGGUCAGCAGAACUAUAAGCACAAGAUGUCUUCCUUUUGUCCUUUGGUUGAACGCGAUGAAGGAUGUUAUGUGUAGCAGCUUCUCCAUAGAAACGCCCCUGGCAACUCCAGCUCUCAUUAUCCCCAUUCAAUCAGCAAGACCCUUGAACAGGAGAUGGCUCUGUUCAUCUUCCCCUCCCACAAACUGCUGGCAAUCCCAGCCUCCGUUUGGCUUCAUGGACCUGAGUUGGUUUAAUGGAUCUGUGCUGUACACCAUGCGAUGUUAGCACCAAAUAAUUUGGCAACCAAAUUAAAGGAGAUACUCAGGAGAUUUUUAUAGAUUGAUAGUGAAUCAGGCUUGGUUUGGGCUCCGCUGCUCCUUUAGGGAGGGACUCCAUUAUGGCAGUCCCUGUGGGUCUGAGCAGAGUCCCCUCCCCUUGCUCAGCAGUGCUCAUUUACUCAGCUCUUUAGUGAGCUGCCUAGUAGGCUCAGGGCUGCUCACCGCAGGGCUCAGAGGGCCCCUCUCUCCCUGUCUCAC